UUUCCGUAGGUGAACCUGCGGAAGGAUCAUUACAGAGUUCAUGCCCUCACGGGUAGAUCUCCCACCCUUGAAUAUUUAUACCUUAGUUGCUUUGGCAUGCCGUGGAAACACCAUGGGCUCCGGCUUAUGCGUGCCUGCCAGAGGAAACAAACUCUGUUUUUAGUGAUGUCUGAGUACUAUAUAAUAGUUAAAACUUUCAACAACGGAUCUCUUGGUUCUG
rnacentral:misc_RNA from 1 species